GAACUCCUCACCGCAGCUGCUGGACACUGCACAAGAUUAGCGAUAUAAAACUCUUGUGCGUGUGACAGCAGCUAUGGUUGGGACUAGCUUCGUCUAU
rnacentral:pre_miRNA from 1 species